GAGUUUGAUCCUGGCUCAGGACGAACGCUGGCGGCGUGCUUAACACAUGCAAGUCGAACGAUGAACCUUCCAUGAACUCUUCGGAGUGAUUGGGAGCGGAUUAGUGGCGAACGGGUGAGUAACGCGUGAGCAACCUGCCUUAAACAACGGGAUAGCCUCGGGAAACCGGGAUUAAUACCGUAUGAGACCCCGCCUUCACAUGAAGAAGAGGUUAAAGAUUUAUCGGUUUAAGAUGGGCUCGCGUCUGAUUAGCUAGUUGGUGAGAUAAAAGCCCACCAAGGCAACGAUCAGUAACCGGCUUGAGAGAGUGAACGGUCACAUUGGAACUGAGACACGGUCCAAACUCCUACGGGAGGCAGCAGUGGGGAAUAUUGCACAAUGGGGGAAACCCUGAUGCAGCGACGCCGCGUGAGCGAUGAAGGAAUUCGUUUCGUAAAGCUCUGUCCUAGGGGAAGAUAAUGACAGUACCCUUGGAGGAAGCCCCGGCUAAAUACGUGCCAGCAGCCGCGGUAAUACGUAUGGGGCGAGCGUUGUCCGGAAUUAUUGGGCGUAAAGGGUACGUAGGCGGUUUCAUAAGUCAGAUGUAAAAGCGUGGGGCUCAACCCCAUAAAGCAUUUGAAACUGUGGAACUUGAGUAGUGGAGAGGAAAGUGGAAUUCCUAGUGUAGCGGUGAAAUGCGUAGAUAUUAGGAGGAAUACCAGUGGCGAAGGCGACUUUCUGGACACAAACUGACGCUGAGGUACGAAAGCAUGGGGAGCAAACAGGAUUAGAUACCCUGGUAGUCCAUGCCGUAAACGAUGAAUGCUAGGUGUCGGGGGUCAAACCUCGGUGCCGCAGUUAACACAGUAAGCAUUCCGCCUGGGGA
rnacentral:rRNA from 1 species